rnacentral:rRNA from 1 species
CCUACGGGUGGCAGCAGUGAGGAAUCUUGGUCAAUGGCCGCAAGCCUGAACCAGCCAAGUCGCGUGAGGGAAGACGGUCCUGUGGAUUGUAGACCUCUUUUGCCGGGGAGCAAAAGACCCCACUCGUCCGGUUCCGAGAGUACCCGGAGAAAAAGCAUCGGCUAACUCCGUGCCAGCAGCCGCGGUAAUACGGAGGAGGCGAGCGUUGUCCGGAGUGACUGGGUGUAAAGGGCACGUAGGCGGUGUUGUAAGUCAUGAGUCAAAGACCAGGGCUCAACAUUAGUAAGGCUAGGGAUACUAUACUACGAGAGUAGGAGAGAGGAUUGCAGAAUGCCUGGUGUAGCGGUGAAAGGCGUAGAUAUCAGGAGGAAUACCGUUAGCGAAGGCGGCAAUCUGGCUGGAAACUGACGCUGAGGUGCGAAAGCGGGGGUAGCAAACAGUAUGAGAUACCCCAGUAGGC